UCCUGGUUAGCUCAGUUGGUAAAGCGCUCCACUGGAAAUAGAGAGGUUUCUGGUUCAAUACCAAGACCAGGCG
rnacentral:tRNA from 2 species